GAUGAACGCUGGCGGCGUGCCUAAUACAUGCAAGUCGAGCGAACAGAUGAGGAGCUUGCUCCUCUGACGUUAGCGGCGGACGGGUGAGUAACACGUGGAUAACCUACCUAUAAGACUGGGAUAACUUCGGGAAACCGGAGCUAAUACCGGAUAAUAUAUUGAACCGCAUGGUUCAAUAGUGAAAGACGGUUUUGCUGUCACUUAUAGAUGGAUCCGCGCCGCAUUAGCUAGUUGGUAAGGUAACGGCUUACCAAGGCAACGAUGCGUAGCCGACCUGAUAGGGGGAUCGGCAAAACUGGACUUGAGAAACGGUCAAAACCCCUAGGGAAGGCAGAAGUAGGGAAUUUUGCGAAAUGGGGGAAAGCUUGACGAGGCAACGCGGCGGGAGGAAGGAAGGUCUUGGGUUCGUAAAACUUUGUUAUUGGGAAAAAACAAAUGGGUAAGAAACUCUGCAGGUCUGGAGGGACCCUAAGCAGAAAGCCACGGCUACUUCCGU
rnacentral:rRNA from 1 species